rnacentral:rRNA from 1 species
GACGAACGCUGGCGGCGUGCUUAACACAUGCCAGUCGAACGGAAAGGCCCUGCUUGUGUGGGGUGCUCGAGUGGCGAACGGGUGAGUAACACGUGAGUAACCUGCGCUUGACUGUGGGAUAACUUCAGGAAACUGGGGCGAAUAGCGGGUAGGAGCGCCUGCUGCAUGGGGGGGGUUGGAAAGUUUCGGCGGGUGGGGAUGGACUCGCGGCUUGUCAGCUUGUGGGGGGGGGGGUGGGUUACCACGGCUUGGCCUGGUAGCCGGCCUGGGAGGGUGACCGGCCACACUGGGCCUGGGCUGCGGCCCAGCCUCCUACGGUAGGCAGCGGUGGGGAAUAUUGCACAAUGGGCGGAAGCCUGAUGUAGCAACGCCGCGUGCGGGAUGACGGCCUUCGGGUUGUAAACCGCUUUCGCCUGGGACGAAGCGUGAGUGACGGUAAUGGGUAAAGAAGCACCGGCUAACUACGUG